rnacentral:rRNA from 1 species
UACGUAGGGUGCAAGCGUUGUCCGGAAUUAUUGGGCGUAAAGAGCUCGUAGGCGGUUUGUCGCGUCUGCUGUGAAAUCUGGAGGCUCAACCUCCAGCCUGCAGUGGGUACGGGCAGACUAGAGUGCGGUAGGGGAGACUGGAAUUCCUGGUGUAGCGGUGAAAUGCGCAGAUAUCAGGAGGAACACCGGUGGCGAAGGCGGUUCUCCUGGGCCUUACCUGACAC